rnacentral:rRNA from 1 species
CAUAGCGACUAUCGUGGCAUAUCAAUAAGCGGAGGAAAAGAAACUAACAAGGAUUCCCUUAGUAACGGCGAGUGAAGCGGGAAGAGCUCAAAUUUGAAAUCUUCAAGGUUUUACCUUGACGAAUUGUAGUUUAAAGAAGUGUUUUCUGUUGGAGUUUUGGUAAAAGUUCUUUGGAAUAGGACAUCAUAGAGGGUGAGAAUCCCGUAUUUGACCAUUAUUUUCAGCUGUGUGAUACACUUUCAAAGAGUCGGAUUGCUUGGGAAUGCAGUCCAAAAUGGGUGGUAAAUUUCAUCUAAAGCUAAAUAUUGGCGAGAGACCGAUAGCGAACAAGUACCGUGAGGGAAAGAUGAAAAGAACUUUGAAAAGAGAGUUAAACAGUACGUGAAAUUGUCAAAAGGGAAGCGUUUGACACCAGUGUUGUUUUCUCGAAAAUCAAUUAAAAAGGAUGGGAUUUUGUGUUGUAUUGACCUUAUCAAGCUUUCUUCACUUUUUCUUAGUCUUUUUUAAUGCACUUUUCGUUUAACAAGUCAACAUCAAUUUCUUUUGUUGUAAAAGAGUCAUUGGAAGGUGGCUUUUUCUUCGGAAAAAGUGUUUAUAGCCUUUGGCUUCUGCAAUCGGAGAGAUUGAGGUCUGCAGCGUAGAUCCUUCGGGGUUAGAUACAUUUGUGCUAAGCUAUAGUUCUUUAUAGACAACUUGUUGACUAUAAUCAAUCCUGUAACUUACUCGCUUAUGCUAUUUUACCUACGCUUAGGAUGUUGAUAGUCACAGCGUGUAC